rnacentral:rRNA from 1 species
UACAGAGGUCUCAAGCGUUGUUCGGAUUCAUUGGGCGUAAAGGGUGCGUAGGUGGCGCGGUAAGUCGGGUGUGAAAUUUCGGAGCUUAACUCCGAAACUGCAUUCGAUACUGCCGUGCUUGAGGACUGGAGAGGAGACUGGAAUUUACGGUGUAGCAGUGAAAUGCGUAGAGAUCGUAAGGAAGACCAGUGGCGAAGGCGGGUCUCUGGACAGUUCCUGACACUGGGGCACGAAGGCCAGGGGAGCAAACAGG